rnacentral:rRNA from 1 species
CUACGGGGUGCUCCAGUCGAGAAUAGUCUACAAUGGACGAAAGUCUGAUAGUGCAACGCCGCGUGGGUGAUGAAGCAUUUCGGUGUGUAAAACCCUUUUCUUUGUGAGCAAUGCCAUUAUGGUUAAUAGCUAUAGUGGAGCGAUAUUAGCAGAGGAAUAAGCCACGGCUAACUCCGUGCCAGCAGCCGCGGUAACACGGGGGUGGCGAGCGUUGUCCGGAAUCACUAGGCGUAAAGGGCAGGGAGGCGGAAUAUCUAGUCAUUUGUUAAAGGCAUUGGCUCAACCAAUGUACGGCAUAUGAUACUGGUAUUCUAGAAUUUGGUAUGGGAAGACGGAAUUCCUGGUGUAGCGGUGGAAUGCGCAGAUAUCAGGAAGAACACCGGAGGCGAAGGCGGUCUUCUGGGCCAAAAUUGACGCUCAACUGCGAAGGUGUGGGUAUCAAACAGGAUUAGAUACCCUCGUAGUC